rnacentral:rRNA from 1 species
UGGGGAAUAUUGGGCAAUGGGCGCAAGCCUGACCCAGCGACGCCGCGUGAGGGAAGACAGCCUUCGGGUUGUAAACCUCUGUUGCAGGGGAAGAAGGAAGUGACGGUACCCUGCGAGGAAGCUCCGGCUAACUACGUGCCAGCAGCCGCGGUAAUACGUAGGGAGCGAGCGUUGUCCGGAAUUACUGGGCGUAAAGGGCGCGUAGGCGGCGCUUCAAGUCGUCUGUCAAAAGCCGAGGCUCAACCUCGGUGCGCAGACGAAACUGGAGAGCUUGAGAAGCAGAGAGGCAAACAGAAUUCCUGGUGUAGCGGUGAAAUGCGUAGAUAUCAGGAAGAAUACCAGUGGCGAAGGCGGUUUGCUGGCUGCAUACUGACGCUGAAGCGCGAAAGCCAGGGGAGCAAACAGG